GAUCAUGAUGACGUGGGUGGUUCGUUGUCGGUGAUGUCAUGAGAAGUCUAUUGAACCUUAUCAUUUAGAGGAAGGAGAGGUUGUAACAAGGUUUUCUGUAGGUGAACCUGCAAAAGGAUCAUUGUCGAU
rnacentral:rRNA from 1 species